AACUAACGUUAGCAAGAUGUUUUAAGCAUGCAAGUCGAGCGGCAGCACUUCGGGUGGCGAGCGGCAAACGGGUGAGUAAUGAUUAGCUAUCUGCCCUUUAGACUGGGAUAGCCAUUGGAAACAGUGGGUAAUACUGGAAAGAGAGUAAUCUUGAAAGGUGCGUUCGCACCACUGGAGGAUGAGACUAAUUCCUAUUAGCUUGUUGGUGAGGUAAUGGCUCACCAAGGCGAUGAUGGGUAGCCGGCCUGAGAGGGUGAACGGCCACAUUGGGAUUGAGAUACGGCCCAAACUCCUACGGGAGGCAGCAGCUAAGAAUCUUCCGCAAUGGGCGAAAGCCUGACGGAGCAAUCUUGCGUGGGCGAUUAAGGUUUUCGGACUGUAAAGCCCUUCUGACAGGAAAGAAUAAGUCAAUCAGGAAAUGGAUUGGUGAUGACGGUACCUGUAGAAUAAGUCCCGGCUAAUUACGUGCCAGCAGCCGCGGUAAUACGUAUGGGGCAAACGUUGUUCGGAUUUACUGGGCGUAAAGAGUACGUAGGCCGUCAAGAAAGUCAAUAAUAAAAUUCCGUAGCUCAACUACGUGGUCGUUAUUGAUACUCCUUGACUAGAGUUUUAUAGAGGUAGCAGGAAUUCCUGGUGUAGGGGUGAAAUCUGUUGAUAUCAGGAAGAACACCAAAGGCGAAGGCAAGCUACUGGGUAAAAACUGACGCUGAGGUACGAAAGCUAGGGGAGCGAAUGGGAUUAGAGACCCCAGUAGUCCUAGCUGUAAACGUUGUACACUAGUUUUUCGGUAAGCGUACGCGCUUAUUGGGAAACUGAGCUAACGCAUUAAGUGUACCGCCUGGGUAGAUGCGCGCAAGCGU
rnacentral:rRNA from 1 species